rnacentral:lncRNA from 1 species
GCGCCUUUUACUUGCAACUGCGCGCUCCGCCAGAGACCCGUGACUGCGAGUUCGGACGCUGGGUGCGGCUGCUCUACCGCCUGCGAUUCCACUCGCCCACCUGCGCAGUGCCCUUCACACAUGAGGACACUGUGCCUGAGGAGUCUGAGGAUGAGGAUGAGGUCGAGGAGGGGCAGUUGCAGCCCCCGGAGUUUCAUGCCACAGAGGCCAGACUCGACCCGCAGGUCUCAGAACUCUGGGGGCUCUGAUUCAGCCAAGAUCCUUCCAGAUCACCAAAGGACCAGAAAUCAAGCCAGCUCAGCUCAGAGCCAGAGAGAUGGAUUUUUAAACUUAAUAAAGAUCAGGCUCUUAAGAACUAAUACCCAAA